CAGGAAAUGACAUAGCAAGGAGACCCAUAUUUAAGCGAAGGAGAAACAGGAAGGGUCCUCUUUUCCACUCGGCUCGUGCUCCAGCGGCAGUAUGUGAUCUACCAACAAGGAAGGACACCAAUAAGGCAUCCGAUAAGGUCCAAGAGGCACCAGAGAUGUUUCAUAGAGCCUGGACUGCAUUACAACAACUGACUACCAGCUCCUCGGCUCUUUCAGUCCUCUCUCAAAGAUGAUAGGAUGUCUUGCUGAAGUGGAAAUCACCAUCCUUGCCCAACUGGCCAGAAGAACACUUAACAGUUCUCUGUCAUAUUUGUACCUUCCAAAGACACAGUACAGGUCUGUGCGACUGCUUCUGUGUUCUCAUCAUUAUUUUUGUUGUUAUUUUCUACCCCUUUCAUCCCCCCUCCUCUUCUUCCUCUCAUGCUUGUUCUAGGAAACCAAGUUCAGGUCUUUAAAUUUGUUCAGUAAGCACUUUACCAACUAAGGCAUUUGAUCAAAAUAUCGUUGUCUGUAAUGAUGGCGUGCAGACUGAUCCUCUGGAACGCUAUGUAUAAUGUAACAACUAGGUGAAGGAAGGAGCAUCUCCUUCACAUCAAAUGCUAUUACAUGCUUUACCUACCUAACUGCAACAAACAUAUCAAUAAAUGGGCGUUGUUGGCUUUAUUAUGUUAGGAUUUAUAAUAGCCCACAUUAUUGCUUUCAGUAAAAAAUUGAAACUGCAAUUAAAGUGCCCAUGCAGUCUGUUACUUGAAAGACCAAAGAUCAUUGGGAAAAAUAAUUAUGACUAUUACAUAAAUUACAUCUUAACUAUUUAUAUUCUAUUAAGGGAUAUGAAAUAAAUGCUUAAGCCAUUUGCAGCCACUUAUAGUGGUUUCUGAUCAUAAAGAUUUGUUAUUUUCAGGCCAACUAUAAAAUAUUUUAUAAAUGUGAACACCUUCCAACAUGAUUAUGAUAUUAGGGAAUAAUUUCAGCAUAGUACAAAAAAUUGAUUUUCUUAUGGAGUCUUUCAUUAGUGGAAAACAGUAGCUGUAUGUGGAAAACUUGUCUUCAUUGAAAAGGGCUGUUAAUAGGACACAAAGUGAACUGGUAGACAUACUGGUACAGCACAGUCUUGUUCAUAUCCCUGUCCACCUGUGUGUAGUCAUACAGAAGCUCCAAUUGUCCAAAGCUCAGGCAAUUACAACUUCAGGUCUUUUAAAAGACUUGCUCUUAAGAUCUACCUCAUGGCUAACCCCAAAAAAUGUUUAUAAAACUGUCCAGGAUGAGAGAUAUCAUAUUAGAGGGAGCCAUUAUAGGUCCGAGGAGAGAUCUGGCACUAGGGAGACUUCCAGAGAUCUACAAGGAUGACACGAACUGACAAUCUAGUCAGUGGUGGAGAGGAUAACCUAAAUGCCCUUCCCCUAUAAUGACACUGAUAACCACUUUAUAUGGCAUCCUAGAGCCCUCAUCCAGUGGCUGAUGGAAACAGAGGCAGACACCCACAGAUAUACACUGAACUGAACUCUGGAACCCAGUUGCAGAGAGGGAGGAAUGAAGAUCAAAGGGGUUGGUGGUACCAGGCUGGUGAAACCCACGGAAACAGCUGGCAUGAACAAGGGGGAGCACAUCGACCCGAGAUGCUGUCUGCGAUGCCAAUAUAGGACUGAUCCAGACCACUGAACAUGGAUGUCAAUAAGGAGGUAUCUGUACUCUAGGAGGCCCCUGGUGGUGGAUUAGUAUUUUUCCC
ensembl:lincRNA